rnacentral:rRNA from 1 species
CGAACGCUGGCGGCGUGCUUAACACAUGCAAGUCGAACGGAAAGGCCCUGCUUUUGUGGGGUGCUCGAGUGGCGAACGGGUGAGUAACACGUGAGUAACCUGCCCUUGACUUUGGGAUAACUUCAGGAAACUGGGGCUAAUACCGGAUAGGAGCUCCUGCUGCAUGGUGGGGGUUGGAAAGUUUCGGCGGUUGGGGAUGGACUCGCGGCUUAUCAGCUUGUUGGUGGGGUAGUGGCUUACCAAGGCUUUGACGGGUAGCCGGCCUGAGAGGGUGACCGGCCACCUUGGGACUGAGGUGCGGCCCAGGCGGCUACGGGAGGCAGCAGUGGGGAAUAUUGCACCAUGGGCGGAAGCCGGGUGCAGCAGGGCCGCGUGCGGGAUGACGGCCUUCGGGUUGUAGACCGCUUUCGCCUGUGACGAAGCGUGAGUGACGGUAAUGGGUAAAGAAGCACCGGCUAACUACGUG